AACGCUAGCUACAGGCUUAACACAUGCAAGUCGGGGGGCAGCACGGGAGUAGCAAUACAACUGGUGGCGACCGGCGCACGGGUGAGUAACGCGUAUGCAACCUACCUAUCAGAGGGGAAUAACCCGGCGGAAGUCGGACUAAUACCGCAUAAAACAGGGGCACCGCAUGGUGAUAUUUGUUAAAGAAAUUCGCUGAUAGAUGGGCAUGCGUUCCAUUAGGUAGUUGGUGAGGUAACGGCUCACCAAGCCGACGAUGGAUAGGGGAACUGAGAGGUUGGUCCCCCACAUUGGAACUGAGACACGGUCCAAACUCCUACGGGAGGCAGCAGUGAGGAAUAUUGGUCAAUGGGCGAGAGCCUGAACCAGCCAAGUAGCGUGCAGGACGACGGCCCUAUGGGUUGUAAACUGCUUUUGUACGGGGAUAAAGUGAGAGACGUGUCUUUCAUUGCAGGUACCGUACGAAUAAGGACCGGCUAAUUCCGUGCCAGCAGCCGCGGUAAUACGGAAGGUCCAGGCGUUAUCCGGAUUUAUUGGGUUUAAAGGGAGCGUAGGCCGCCCGUCAAGCGUGUUGUGAAAUGUAGAUGCUCAACAUCUGAAUUGCAGCGCGAACUGUCGGGCUUGAGUGCGCACAACGCAGGCGGAAUUCGUGGUGUAGCGGUGAAAUGCUUAGAUAUCACGAAGAACUCCGAUUG
rnacentral:rRNA from 1 species